CGAGCACGCGCGUGUGGCAUAUCAAUAAGCGGAGGAAAAGAAACUAACAAGGAUUCCCCUAGUAACGGCGAGUGAAGCGGGAAGAGCUCAAAUUUGAAAUCUUCAAGGGUUUCCCUUGACGAAUUGUAGUUUAAAGAAGUGUUUUCUGUUAGAGAGGUGGUAAAAGUUCUUUGGAAUAGGACAUCAUAGAGGAUGAGAAUCCCGUAUUUGAUCACUUUCUACUAACGUUGUGAUACACUUUCAAAGAGUCGGAUUGUUUGGGAAUGCAGUCCAAAAUGGGUGGUAAAUUUCAUCUAAAGCUAAAUAUUGGCGAGAGACCGAUAGCGAACAAGUACCGUGAGGGAAAGAUGAAAAGAACUUUGAAAAGAGAGUUAAACAGUACGUGAAAUUGUCAAAAGGGAAGCGUUUGACACCAGUGUUGUUUUUCCGAAAAUCAAUUACGAAUGUUUUAGUUUUUAAGGAGUUAUGACUUCAUCGGCUUGCUCCUUUCUUUACGAAACUUUCUUAAUGCACUUUUCGGUUAACAAGUCAACAUCAAUUUCUUUUGUUGUAAAAGGGUAUGAGGAAGGUGGCUUUCUUUUCGGAGAAAGUGUUUAUAGCCUUGUGCCUCUGCAAUUGGAGAGAUUGAGGUCUGCAGCGUAGAUCCUUCGGGGUUAGAUACGUUUGUGCUAAGUUAUAGCUUUUCAUAGACAACUUGUUGACUAUGUUUAGUCUUGUAGCUUACUCGCUGAUGCUAUUUUACCUACGCUUAGGAUGUUGAACUCUAUCACACACAG
rnacentral:rRNA from 1 species